ACGUACACUCCUGCGGGAGGCAGCAGUGGGGAAUAUUGCACAAUGGGCGCAAGCCUGAUGCAGCCAUGCCGCGUGUAUGAAGAAGGCCUUCGGGUUGUAAAGUACUUUCAGCGGGGAGGAAGGCGAUAAGGUUAAUAACCUUGUUGAUUGACGUUACCCGCAGAAGAAGCACCGGCUAACUCCGUGCCAGCAGCCGCGGUAAUACGGAGGGUGCAAGCGUUAAUCGGAAUUACUGGGCGUAAAGCGCACGCAGGCGGUCUGUCAAGUCGGAUGUGAAAUCCCCGGGCUCAACCUGGGAACUGCAUUCGAAACUGGCAGGCUAGAGUCUUGUAGAGGGGGGUAGAAUUCCAGGUGUAGCGGUGAAAUGCGUAGAGAUCUGGAGGAAUACCGGUGGCGAAGGCGGCCCCCUGGACAAAGACUGACGCUCAGGUGCGAAAGCGUGGGGAGCAAACAGGAUUAGAUACCCCAGUAGUCCCAUG
rnacentral:rRNA from 1 species